rnacentral:rRNA from 1 species
UGGGGAAUAUUGGACAAUGGGCGAAAGCCUGAUCCAGCCAUGCCGCGUGUGUGAAGGAGGUCUUCGGAUUGUAAAGCACUUUAAGUUGGGAGGAAGGGCAGUAAGCGAAUACCUUGCUGUUUUGACGUUACCGACAGAAUAAGCACCGGCUAACUCUGUGCCAGCAGCCGCGGUAAUACAGAGGGUGCAAGCGUUAAUCGGAAUUACUGGGCGUAAAGCGCGCGUAGGUGGUUCGUUAAGUUGAAUGUGAAAGCCCCGGGCUCAACCUGGGAAAUGCAUCCAAAACUGGCGAGCUAGAGUAGGGCAGAGGGUGGUGGAAUUUCCUGUGUAGCGGUGAAAUGCGUAGAUAUAGGAAGGAACACCAGUGGCGAAGGCGACCACCUGGGCUCAUACUGACACUGAGGUGCGAAAGCGUGGGGAGCAAACAGG